AGUGGCGGACGGGUGAGUAACGCGUGAGGAACCUGCCUUUCGGAGGGGAAUAACACAUCGAAAGAUGUGCUAAUACCGCAUAACGUCAUUGGGUGGCAUCAUCUGAUGACCAAAAGAGCAAUCUGCCGAAAGAUGGCCUCGCGUCCGAUUAGAUAGUUGGUGAGGUAAUGGCCCACCAAGUCUGCGAUCGGUAGCCGGACUGAGAGGUUGAACGGCCACAUUGGGACUGAGACACGGCCCAGACUCCUACGGGAGGCAGCAGUGGGGGAUAUUAGUCAAUGGAGGAAACUCUGAACUAGCGACGCCGCGUGAGGGAAGAAGGUCUUCGGAUUGUAAACCUCUGUCUUCGGGGAAGAUAAUGACGGUACCCGAGGAGGAAGCUCCGGCUAACUACGUGCCAGCAGCCGCGGUAAUACGUAGGGAGCAAGCGUUAUCCGGAUUUAUUGGGUGUAAAGGGUGCGUAGGCGGGAAGGUAAGUUGAAUGUGAAAUACCGGGGCUCAACUCCGGGGCUGCGUUCAAAACUGCUUUUCUUGAGUACAGCAGAGGCAAGCGGAAUUCCCAGUGUAGCGGUAAUAUGCGUAGAUAUUGGGAGGAACACCGGUGGCGAAGGCGGCUUGCUGGGCUGCAACUGACGCUGAAGCACGAAAGUGUGGGGAGCAAACAGGAUUAGAUACCCUGGUAGUCCACACUGUAAACGAUGAUUACUAGGUGUGGG
rnacentral:rRNA from 1 species